GAACAACAAAUACAGUGCGGUGGGACCAAUUUUCAUCUUUCAUUAAUUGAUAAACUGUUAAUCGGUGUCCAUUUGAUUGGUUGAUUAGGAAAGACACAAAAUGUGAAAAUUUUCUGAACGAUUGUCAAUUGUGAGUGAAUUUACAAGGCAGCCGCAGUCUCCCCCAUGGCUUAACGAUGGCCAUCAAAGAGACAUUAGACGAAACAGGCAACUCGCGCAAGUGCCGGGAUUUCGUGUUAAAUUCCACUAAGCGACCACUUGAGAACUUGCCACGAAAAGUUAUCUGGAGCCCUAUGUUUAAUUAAAUUCAAAGUUAACGACAAAUUCAGCCCAAUCUAUCUUGACGAGUCGCAUGUAGGCGUCGCUGACGCCGGGACAAGUGACUUAGACAUUAAUUCUUGUCUCAUAAGUCGCUAAGCAACUUUAGUGGAAGAUGAUUAUUCAGUUCCUUUGACAAAUUCACUUAAAUUUUGUUCAUGAAGCUCGUUUCCCUAAGUUUGU